GAACCCCCUGUGGUGCGCAUGCGCGCCUGCCGGGCCCGGGGGGAGGGGUGCUCCGGAAGAAGCACUGCCCAGGUGUUCGCGCUCUGGUUCGGGCGCUGCUGGGGCUGGUGGGGGCCUCGGGUCUUCUAUGGGCUGCAUCGGCUUGGCUUUGUUCAGGCUUCACGGCAUCCUCAAAAGAGGGAAGCCAGGUUCUACUUGCAAUUUGUAGAGGGAAUUAUAGGGGGCUUUGCGAGAUACACCAACUGUGGAGAAAGUCAUCACAGUUCAAGCAGGAAAUAUGGAAAUAAGGCAUUUUAUAAAAAGAACUGGACAAAUUUCAUUGAUGUCUGAGGAUUAAAAAAACAUAUAAAUCUCUGGACCUGUCAAGCAGACCUCCAAAUGACUGUCCUGCUGCCCAGGCUGCCACAGCAACAUAGCAUGUCAAGCUCCUGAAGGCUGAAUGGGCGAUGUGUGGGCAUGAUGUGAUGUGUGGGCAUGAUGUUGAACUCACCUUUCUUGCUAUAGGAGUUGCAGCUUUAUGUCUACCUGAUCCCAGUUGGGGGAAACCCAACGAUUCUCAGCCAGAGGCCUCAAGAGUCUGUUAACAGUGCCGUGGGACAUGGUUAGCAGCGCAGACACACACAAUAAACCCGGAAGUGGUAAAUCCAAAACCAGAGCAUCCAAACCAACCUGAGGCACCGUGGGCUAUUGGAGGUCUUUGCAAAAGAAGCUUCUGCCUAAUAUUUUUCCAUGCUCAAAAAAAAUGGGUAAAAGCUGAGAGCUGGCGUUUUCUGAGGGGUCCUUGAGUCCAAAGAGGUUGAGAACCUGAGUUAACCCAGAGCACAAAGUGAUGUGAAUGCUCCUACACUGAAUUAAUCUAGGCUUAUUUUAGUUGAGUCAAACUGGUUAGAACCAAGCUUAAUUGGUAGUGAGUGGGCCACAGCAUCUGAGCCACAUCUAGUUUUUCUGCAGCUUUUCAAAAUAUUUUCAAAGGUGUUUCCCCCCAGUGUGCCUUGGGCAUGAUUUUCCUGCCAUCCUGAACAAUGCAACCUGUGCAGCUAAUUAAUGCAACACAAGGUGUUACAUACUGUCAUUUUUUUUCUUUUGGACUGGACUGUCUUUGCUGUGAUUCACCAUGACCUGUGUCUGUGUUUGUGGCUCUUGGGGUACCGUUGAUUACUUGACCCAGCGGAGUGAUCAUCCUCGACCAUAAGGGAUCACCUCCACCAGCGACCUAAGACCGACAGGACUGAGCGUCACCGAGUUCAGGCAAACUGAAAGGUGAAAUUUAAAUUGGGGUUGUGCUCACUUGAAUAGACUGAUGCAAAUGUGUGUGUAAACAAACCUGUGCCCUUUCAAAUAUCUAAUGGCUUAUCCAUGCUUGGUUCACACAAGCGCUAUUGCAGUUUCUUUGUAUAAGAACAGCUGCUGCAAACACAGCCCUGAUGUGGUUCUUAUGAUCAUUGUAAACAGUGUUCUCUGGAAAUGUCCUUAGCCCAGCCUGAGUAAGGUCCUCCCAUUCCCACAAGUAGCUUCUGAACCACUAGCUGUCACUGUUCCAAGGGACUGUUGCAUUUUCAAAAUCUUUAAAGCUUUGGUUCGGGAAAUAAAGGUAAUUUUCUCUCCCCUUUUCUUCUCUUCCCUUUCCUACUACCAUUUUAAAUAUCUGGAGGUUAAUAUCCACUGUAACCUGGAGACCUUGUAUAAAGUCAGUUUCCCUUAGCUAGCAGAAUUUUGCCUAAAAUAAGAUGCCACGUAGAAACUUCAGUUAAUUAGCUUGAUAGACAGCACUAUUUGCAUUAAGUGAUUUCCGAGCCUGAUUUUUUUAGACUUCUACAUCAUCUACUUUGACAGUUAACAGUUUCAGGCUUUGGGCUGGCAAGUGAAUUUUGAUCAGCAUGAAGAGCCUUCAUCAAUCAUUUUUAGCUGCCUGUGCCAGAUUUUAAUCUAUAUUAAUUAGGACAUAACUGAGAGAGAUUGCACACUGGAGAUAAUCCUCUCAGUGUCCAUAAUCAGCUGCUGCUGCCCUGUGAAAGGGGGAAGUGAACAGUGUCUAAACUUCUGUUACACUCCAGGCUUUCAUAUGGAAGAGGUCCUGUUCCCUCCUUAUGGGGUCACCGGUACUAUUGCAACUUUUCUUUUGGCACAGGCAGUCAAUUGUUACAUUUAGUUUGGGUCACUUGAAAAUUAGAAUGAACACAGUGGGUCUGUGCUCACAUGUGCAAUUGUUUGUCAUCAAGAAUUUUCCUCCUUUCUUUGAAUGAAACUAAAUGGAAACUUCCAGAAUUUCUUUUAUAGUUAACCCUUCCGCUUCAUAGUUUCCCCAGCACAAAAGUGUAUUAAAUUGCUAUGAAAACAGGAGAAAAUCCAGAUGCUAAGAUAGGAAACUAGUAAUCAACGGAAUUAACAGGAAUUGUGUCAUCAGUUAGUGUAAUUAAUCACACAGCAUCAUCAUUUGUGGUAGAGUAGCACCUGAGAGUUCUAGUCAUGGACCAGGACAGCACUGUGCUAGGUGCACUGCAAAUGCAGAACAAGGUGCCUCGCACAGAAUAUAAGUCCAAGAUACCUCGUAACAUAUUAGAAUUUCACUUCUAAAGCACUCUCACAAUGUGAUCUUUGUGCAUUUGCUUGUGUUGUUCCCCAGCAAAGUGGAUUAUUGUUGGUUAGUGACUGGGUCACUAACCAACACGUAAUAGGAUUUUCCUGUGCCCUCUCAUUUCUUAUUGGAAGUCAUCUUAGCAGUAAUAUGUUUUGGGUUUAACCUCGUUGGUAUUGGUUUUGACAAAUGCCUCUUAUUCCAGAGAAAUGUGUGGCUAUUAAGCUCUUGCAUGUAACCAGGUAGCUGAAGCAAUAGGAAUCCCAUUUGAAACACAGGCAUGUGGCUAGGCCUAGCCAGAGGAGUUUCCCUGGAGACUACUAUAGCAAACAUUGGGGGGGGCUGAAGCACUAAAAGGUGGAGCUGUUUCUGUGUGCAUGUCCCUGAGAAAAAGAGCAGAAAACCUAGGAAAGCUGAGAGAAAAGGCAAUGAGCAAGUGCUAGAUGUAGUCACCUGCAAGGCACAGGUAGUGUGGCAUUGAAAGAAUCGUAGACAGAGAACUUUUGUGCCCGGUGUUUGCUGGGAAGCACUUGCAGCUGGGAGUGAAGGAACUAGCCUUGUUGUCUCCUCCUUAUAUGUUCAGAGGAAUCAGGAUUUAGGGUGUUUUUACACAUUCUCCAAUGAGAGUUAUGAGGGGGAGCCGUUCUAAAUAAAGUACCCGCAGUGUCUCAUAUAUCAGCAUCCGUGUGCUUCAAAAUGGCAGUGGGAACACUUAAACUAAAGCUCCUUUGACAUGCAGGGAUGUUGAUACACGAGACACAGAGGCUGCUGGAGCACACUAAUUAUCAUACUCCAGCAGACUCAAUUAAUCGAGUCCGCUCCAACAUGCUGUAAUUACAGCGCAUCAGAGCAGCCUCCUGACAUGUCUACAAGCACCAUUAGUGCACACUUUUUGUAAAUAAACACAGCUGCUUCAGUUUCAUCAUCUAUUUCUCUUCCUUAUGAAAUAACCUGCAGGACCCUAAACAAUGGCUAACUCUCAGGCAGAAAGGGGUACCAUGGGGUUAUUCUUUUGCUGGAUUCAACAAAGUAUUGACUUCAGGCAGUAGCAUAACUAGGGCAGGGUGAACAGGGUAACUACUUGGAUACUGACUUGGGGACAGAAGCAAAAAAAACCCUCCUGCUAUUAGCAGCCACACGAUCACAAUUGUGACUGUAGUGGCCACUGGAAGUUGCCAUUGUCCCUGUGCCCUGGGUACCUGGUCAUAUCCCUAAGCUGCUGACUUUGGGCUUAGCUUUAUUGAACAAGGUUGGAAUUAAUCAUUUGCUUCAAGUUAAGCAUGUUUGACAGCUUUGCCAAAUUGUCUUCAGGUACUGGUGGGACCAAAAAAAAUUUAAAGAAAUAUUUUUCACCAACUUUCAUCAAAUGGAUAUAAUUGAGGCUGAGGGUUUGUCAGCACACCAUUUGGUCCUAGGACUUUGGCAAACCUUCCUCUUGUAUCAUAAGUCAAACUUGCCAUUAUAAAGCUGAAGGGACAAAGAUUCAUCAUUGAUUUUGGAAUGGGUCCAGAAGAUCUGAAGCCUAAGUCACUGAUACAAACUCUAUGCAUUUUUUCCAAAGAGUACACAUUUCUGGGCCUAUGCUGUAUUAUUGAAUCCUUUUAUAACUGUAAUAGGCUAAUUUGCUAAAGGUUAAUUGCACAGGAACUAGCAAAAGGCUAAAGUAUUCUAUUUGUUCCAAGUAAUGGAUACUUUCUGUUCGACAGUCAAAUAUUUCUGGGGGAUUGCCAGCAGGUACAGUGAUGAGACAAAGGGUUUUUCUCAGAUUACAUCUGGAAAGGGAAGUCUGUUGAAUGGUAAGCAACUGUUCCUGGUAAUUUCUUAUAAAAAUGUCAAAGGAAAAAUUUAGCAGGACAUGAGGCAAACACUGUCAUACAUGUUAUACAGGCCAGAUCUGAGGUAUGCAAAUAAUCUCCAGCCACCACAGAAAGGGCAACAACCAUUCAAAAGAUACAUUACUUAACAACAUUUAAUAAAAUAGAGCAAUUGAAAUUACUUCUCAUAGGGCAUGUUUACGUGUUCAUUAAUGCACUUUAGGUAAUGCACGUUAAAUCUACUGCCUCCCAGCGGAGGUACUAGAAAAAGGUGCAUUAGCCUAUUUUAAUGCACAUUAGCUAAAGAGCAGUUUUUUGUAAUGCUUUAAUGUGCAUUGAAAUACGCUACUGCGCAUUAAAAUGCAUGUGUAGACACACCCUAUAGUGUCCUUUUGCUGCACUGUGACCAAAAGAACUCAGGGCACUGCCAAAUGGUGAGAAAAAUGUCAGGAGGCCAGAUCAACCCCCAGCCCAUAAAAGGAAGGGGAGCUGUCUAUGUCAGCAGUCAGCAACCUAUGUCUUGUGGGUUGACUAGAUCUAGCUAGCAGACUUGGGAGGCUUCGGCGGCAUUUGGCAUCAGGGAGAAGUGGUGGUGGAAGGGGCUAGGUCCUAGUGUUAGCCCAUUUUCAUCCGAACUGGGUCAUUCUAGCUUGCUGCCCCAGAAAGGUUACUGACUGCUGGUCUAUGAGGAUUUGUUCACAGACCUUCCCAUUUCCUAUCACACUGUUCCACGGAGGCAGUCUGUCCAGCUGGAGUCCUUGGCCACAUGCAGCCUGCCAGGCUUUAGUUAGCAUGCAGCCUACAGACUGCUGGCUUUCCCAUGACUUAACAUUUUUACAGAAAAGGGAGUCUGAUUUCUAGAUUGUUGAGGCUUCCCAGGACUUAUGGGUUUGUAGGCAUUUUAUGUACAUUACAGUGGAAUCAGGCCAAGAUCAAUUGAAGGGCAGGUUCCUCAGACAGAGCUCCAGCAGAGAUGUGGAAACAAACAAAGACUUUUGUACAGAUAAUUCCUAUCUCCUUACUCCUUUCUCAUUUGCAAGGCUCUGGUGACCUCUAGAGGCCAUAAUGCAAAAUCAGCUCUUUGAUAAAGAGGGUAUUUAGAUCCAUUUACUGCCCUUCAACAAUAGAUAUUGUAUGAUCAUUAGAGUUUUGGAUGAUUUAGGGCCAAACCAGGGUUUACUCCAGUUCUAUUAGUACAGUUACUGGUGAACAGCAGUUUAUAUCAUCAGUCCCUUCCUACACCAGAAAAACAAGGAUUUUCCUCUAGUAUCACCUGCAGUAGCCUCAACCUUCAUGUGACACACUCUUCUGGUCUUGAGAUUCUUCUUUGGUAGAGACUUGCUUUGUCCUAGUAAGAAAGCAUCUCCUUUCCUUAAUAAUUAUCCCUGGAGAAAGGUGCAUCCAGUGCCUGAUCCUGCAGACAUUUAAGCACAUAGGAAACUGCAUACAUGUAAGUAGUCUGAUUACCUGCAUGCAGCAAAGUCCUUGUGAUGUGAGGGCUAGUGGGGACUGGACCUUGUAAGGGAAUGUGCUGAAACCUCCUCACUCAGGUUUUGACUGAGUAUCCUGCUUUCCUGAAAGGUUUUACGUCAGGAGAUGUUGAUUAAAACACUCUGCAUUGUAUUCUCAGCAGGGGGAAACAGUAAUGAUGAAAAUUUGAAACAGCAUUUUGAAAAUGCUAGGAAAUGCUAGUGGUUUUAAAAACAUUUAAUAAAAGGUCUGGAUAACAUUGUAGCUAUAUUUAACAGGAAAUAAGGCAGUUGACUGAGAAAGAGAGGAGGCAGCAUUGUGAGAAAUUAUUAAUUACAAAUCUUUCAGUGAGUAGCUAACUGAGAAAAGUUUCCUAAGGUAAUUUUCUCUGGAGUGGUUGAGACAUAGGGCUAAGACCAUAUCAGAGCUGCUGAGAGAAUUGAAAGAGAGAAUGAGAGAGAGGCCUGGAGUGGUUCAGGGGAUUUGGUUGAUAGAGAGACUUAGAGCCGUGGAGAAGCAUAGCAAGAAGAGGAAAGAAAAGCAGGAGGAGCUGAAAGAGAUAUGCAGCAAUGUAUACAUUAAAAACGAAACAAAACAAUGCAGACUAUUUGUUACAAAAGCUUUAAUAAAUUCAUAGUUGCACAGUGACCUCCAUGAGCUACGUGAACAUCCCAAGUUUAAUGGUGCUCAGUUCUCUCUCUGAAUUUGUUGUUUUUACUUGCCGUGUUUUUCCCUUCUGCAUUUCCUACUGGGCCUCAUAACAGCACUUUAAUGACAGCAUUUGUUUGGUGACAGCAUCCCCGGAGGUUAGUUGUGGCUUGCACAUGCAGUUUUAGAGAAAACCAAGGGUAGUAGGAAAGGAAUCUGCCUUAGUCUCAAAAAGGGUGACCUGUAAAAAGAAACAUGUUGUGUGUGGCUCUUUUUGGUUUUCUUGUCACAAACCCUUUAGAUAAAGGGGCUUUUUUAAAAUAAAAGACUUCCUUUUCUCCUUGUUUCCCCCUAAAAACAUUAGGUCUCACCUAUCUUGUUUUUGCUGUUUUUUUGCUAUCUAUAGACAGCUGGAAAACUAGAGGUCUCACAAGAGACUGAAAUCUGAGCACUUGUGAGGGGAGGGGACUUUUACUCAGACUGUGUAAAACACUUUGAGUUUUGUUUGAUUUUGUUAGAUAAACACAGGGGGGAAGCUAUGCUUGUCAAAGAUUUUGAUUCCCCUACUACUUCCAGCUGUACGCCAAGAAAUUCUUACUGCAUUGUUUUGUUCUAUUAACAAAUCCUGCAGCAAAAGGUGUGUGAACAAAAUGUGUAUUCCUAAUAUUUGUAAAGUAAAAACAACAUGUUUUAGGGCUUCAGAUCACCAGUGGACACUUUAUAAGCAUUGUAAAGUAGUGAGUGGAGAAAAAGAGUUUUCUUUGGAGGUCACUAUAGGCACUGGCUCUAUAUGGCAGAUACACAUUUUUUAAAAGGUAUGGAUUGAUUGGAAUUAUACGUUUUGUUGCAAGACAGGCAGAGCUAGUUGGCAAAUGGGAACCAUUUUUCAAGAUAUUUUUAAUGAUUUUGCAAAAUCUUUUGAAUUUGUCCAUUUUCAGCUGAAGAUUUUUUUUCCAGAUUUAUUUUUUCCUCAUUUUUCAGAGGUGAAAUUGAAAACAAGAUAAAGGAGGGAUGAGAGAAGAAGAAGAGCCGGGGGGAAGAGAAGGAAAAAUAAUAAAUGACCCUCCCCCCCAUCAAUUUUUGUUCUUUCUAUAAAAUAUCACAAAAAUGAAAAUAUUUACAAGUUUUGAAUAAAAAAUCUGGCUAGUCAUGAAAUCCCAGCUUGAUUGUAGGCCUAGGAAGAGCAAUAAAUCAUAGAAUUAAAAUCAGCACUUGGAAAACACAUAGAGAUUAGAACAUAAAGUAUUUUCUUGUUCUAUGAACUGUAUAAGAUAAACACAGUUACACAAAAAACCUCCAGGGCUCCUCUGUGAUUUCACAAGAGAGAAAGAACAUUCCGAUGUGAGUUAGAUAAUUUCACAAACCUUAUCUCAGUGUGAGGCUUUUGUAACAAAGUACAUGUUCUCUAAAGUCAGAAGCAUCAAAGGAGAGGGUGCAAUUAAGGUUCAGUAUUUUAUCAAGGAGGAAGCAGCUUUUUUUGGCUACUGAGCAACAGUGCACAUAUUGGUAUAUAAAGACAUUGCUUUCCCUUUAAUCAUCAUGCACAGUAGCCCCAAGAUGCCUGCUUCUUUGUGGCAGAUCAUAGCUCUCCAGCUGCCUUAAGCUGUGCCAUUGCAGGGGUAUAUAAUAACUGAUGUGCAGGUCUAGCCUCAGCUGUAUCCUACCCUACUCUCUGCACAUGGGGCUCUGGUAGAAUUGAUGCAGAGACUCCCUCUGCAGGGUCGAUGGCUCCAGUGCUGGUAGUGAAGGACUUUUUUCUCUUGGGGCUCCCUUUAGCUGUUCAUCCUAUCUGCUGAAUUAGUCAAACUUCAACAGAAUUCCCAUCCCCAACCUUCCAGGGCUUGCAAGCUUUGAUAAUAUGAUUUUAUUUUAUUUUUAACUAAACCAGCUUCUUCAAUCAGACUCAGUUUAGUAUAGAAAAGGAGUAGGAAGGACUGGUCACUGCACACACCCUCAAGGCUUAGAAGUCAAUCAUCUUCCUGGGACUGACUCCAGAGAGUCAUCUGUGAAGCUGGGAUCCACAAGGCUAAGGAUGGGUCCCAAGAGAGGGCUAGAGCUGAGGGGCACACUUAAUUUCCCUAUUAGUCCUGAGGACUUUCUCUGUUAAAAAUAAUGAAACCUAGAGUGUAUCCCUUGAGAUCUAUGGGUUCUGGAUCCCUUGAGAUCAAUGGGCCCCACUUCCAGGGAAGGCAAAUUGAAUACCCUUCCCUCCCAGAACAACUGAGAGAGCACUUCUUGUUGGACCCCCAUGCUCUGAACCCCUCCAAUGAGUGUUACCAGGGGAUGAUCAGGCCUAAUAGUGCACAAACAGGAAUUAAAAGAUUUUUUAAUAUUUGCUUACAGUGAAGGACACAAUUCAUAAAAAGUUCAGAAAUAUUAAAGUGUAUCUUAUAAUGAGCACAUAAUUUUUUAAAUUAAUUUAAUGAAUCUGAAUUCAUUAACACACAAGUUUAUUGAGAUCUACAUGCUGAGAUCUGCUGAGCUCCAGGUGCACUAUGUCCUGGAACCAUGAGCUAAAAAACCUGACCAGUCAAUUAUAAGGCUAGGGACAGACAUUACACAUAAACCGGUUUAUGUGAUCAGAAACUGGUUUAAACUUGCAACAGAACAGAUGUUCAGUGCACAUAAACCAGUUUGAAAAUGGCUAAAACUGGUUUGAGAUAAACCUGGCUGAAUGUAAUAUCAGACUUAACUGAUUUGGCUCAAACCAGUUUCUGCAAUGUCUGUCCCAGACCGCUUGCUGGUUUAAAAUAAACCAGAGUCCCCCAGCAUCCUGGUAUGAUCUCUGGGCUGGGUGGGGCUCUCUGCUCCACAGCAGGGCUGGCCCCUCCCCUCUGUUCCCUAGCUGCAGCUCAGGCAAAGACUUGCAGGCACAGAGCAUCUGCCUGGCUUCUCCCUGCUAAGCAGAAAUUAUUCCCCCUGCCCCUCUGCCUUAUGCAGACACCUCAGCAUUAGCUAGCAGACCACAUACUGGUUACAGUCCAUGCUGUGGUGGACAACAGGCAGACAGGCUUUUUGGAGCUAAUCAACAGGUAGCUUAAUGUCCUUCCUUGGAAAAGCUGUUUAAGAAUGGAGAGGGGCUUUGUUUUCUUAAUGGGCUGAUAAACACUGAGUUAGGGGUGAUAAACAUUCCCUGUCGGGCUGCUCAGGAGCAGGGGUGGGGUGUCAGGGGGGAACUGCUCAGGAACAGGGGUGGGGGGUAAGGGGGGAACGGGACAUCAGAGUGUCCUGCCAUGGCCUGGCAAUUCCCACCCCUGCACCCCCCCCCCCCACACCCGCUCAGCUCAGCACUGCGGAAUCGGAAGGAGGGCUGCUCUACCACCCCCCCGGCUUCUAGCCGGAGCCUCUUCAGCCAUAUGCCUGAAUCUUUUCAGUCCAGAGGGAAUGUCUGUACGGUUACAAGCUGGUUUAGCUGAGCCAAGUUAGACUAACUUGCAAAGAUUGAAUCAGUUCAGGCUUUUUGAAUGUCCAUCCCUAGCCUAAAUGAACACGUGUUGAUGAAUCUUCUAUGUGAAAACUGUCCAAUCUGUUGUUUUCCAGUGAUUGAAUGUGUUACCUAAGUCUCUGGAAUGCUCUAAGUUAGACAUUGAGUCUGGGACUGUGGACUUGCAUCUUCAGUAUUUCAAGAUUUGUUUGUUGUUUACUACUCUGCAUCUGACAUCCAAAUGAUACAAUUAAUUUGUAUGUAACUUUGCAAAGACAAUGGAAUUUUAAUAAACGAAAUGUUGAUACUA